rnacentral:rRNA from 1 species
GAUGAACGCUGGCGGCGUACCUAAUACAUGCAGGUCGAGCGAACAGACGAGGAGCUUGCUCCUCUGACGUUAGCGGCGGACGGGUGAGUAACACGUGGAUAACCUACCUAUAAGACUGGGAUAACUUCGGGAAACCGGAGCUAAUACCGGAUAAUAUAUUGAACCGCAUGGUUCAAUAGUGAAAGACGGUUUUGCUGUCACUUAUAGAUGGAUCCGCGCCGCAUUAGCUAGUUGGUAAGGUAACGGCUUACCAAGGCAACGAUGCGUAGCCGACCUGAGAGGGUGAUCGGCCACACUGGAACUGAGACACGGUCCAGACUCCUACGGGAGGCAGCAGUAGGGAAUCUUCCGCAAUGGGCGAAAGCCUGACGGAGCAACGCCGCGUGAGUGAUGAAGGUCUUCGGAUCGUAAAACUCUGUUAUUAGGGAAGAACAAAUGUGUAAGUAACUAUGCACGUCUUGACGGUACCUAAUCAGAAAGCCACGGCUAACUACGUG